rnacentral:lncRNA from 1 species
AGUGAAAUGGUUAUUGCUAGUAGAAAACCGUGUUAGUUUUCCCCCAAUGCAAAUGUUGUGAGGUAAAUGGCCAACAAAAUUAUUAUUAGCUAGCUGCAAAUUUUCCAAAGCAAUAAUCCUGUUCAUUUCUUUUGGAACCUUGCCACUGAGAUUAUUGUUAAGUAAAAAUAAUUCACGAAGCUUCGACAAAUUUCCAAUAGUGGAAGGAAUGGAUCCAGAAAGUUUGUUUUGAGAAACUAAAACGAAUUCCAAAUUGACCAGGUUACCUAUGGAAGCAGGGAUUGGUCCAGAGAGGUUGUUUUGAUAAAGAGAAAUGGAUUUCAAAUUGACCAGGUUACCUAUGGAAGUAGGGAUUGGUCCAGAGAGGUUGUUUUGAUAAAGAAAAAUGGAUUCCAAAUUGACCAGAUUACCUAUGGAAGUAGGAAUUGAUCCAGAAAGGUUGUUUUGAUAAAGUAAAAUGGAUUCCAAAUUGAUCAGGUUACCUAUAGAAGUAGGAAUUGGUCCAGAGAGAUUAUUGUCCAGCAACUGGAUUGUUAGAAGGGAAUGUAAAUUUCCUAUUUCAUCCGGGAUAAAGCCAGAGAAUUGGUUGCCAAAAAGGUAAAGAUAACUUAAAUUGCUCAAGUUUCCAAUUGUGGAAGGGAUUUUACCAGAGAGAAAAUUCUCAGACAAAUCAAGUUCACUGAGUUUUCUCAAAAAUCCAAUUUCAUGAGGAAUAAAACCUGAAAAUUGGUUUCCAAUAAGGUUAAGAUAAGUAAGACUGAUCAACUUACCAAUUUCACGAGGUAUGUGACCAGAAAGAUUACAACUGCUCAUGUCGAGAUGAAUUAGUUUCCCCAGCAUGUCAAUUUCUUGGGGCAUGGUGCCAGAAAGGCCACUUUCCCCAAGAUAUAGAAACUCCAGGUUGCUCAUAUUCACAAUUUCUUUGGGAAAAGAACCAUGGAAUUUAUUAGUUCCAAAUGACAAAUACUUUAGGUCCAUGUGCCAAAUUCUCUGAGGAAUACUGCCAGAAAGGUUGUUGGAUCCUAUAUCUAGAUGAAUCAAAUUGUUCAACUUUUCUAUAGAGAUUGGGAUUGUCCCUGUGAGAUUGCAAUAAGGAACAUGAAGCAUUCUCAGCUCCCUCAAUCUUCCUAUUUCUUGAGGAAGGGACCCACUAAAAGUAUUUUGUGCCAUGUUCAACUUUUGAAGGCUAAUCAACUGUGUUAUUUCAGAAGGGAUAAUCCCAGAGAGUUUAUUAGCAGACAAAUCAAGAACAACUAGAUUGGACAGAAUUCCAAUUUGAGGAGGAAUACUUCCGCUCAGGGAGUUGUUACUUACAUUUAGAGUGUGAAUGUUUGUAAGCAUUGAGAAGUUGAGAUUUUGAAGCGUACCUCUUAAUCCAAUAUUUGGAAGAUUUAUUUGGAAGACAUGAUUGGAGUGAUCACAUGCAAUUCCGAACCAAUUGCAAGAAGUGUUGGCAGUCCAUGAAUAAAGAGAAGCUUGACUCUGCUUGUCAAGGCUGGCUUUCCACUUCAGCAGAGCAUUUGCUUUUGAAGCAAUUCCGGAAGAAUUGAAAGCAUAAGAAUGGGGAAAUGCAGAAAACAACAUUAGAAGAAACAACCAAAAGGGUUGUAACUUCAUCGACAGAAGCGUUGGAAAUAUGAACAUCAUACUGAAUUGUUCACACAAUAUUGAAUUACAACGUUAGAGAAAGCUUGCAUGUUAUUCACGGAAUGUGCCGCUACUUAUAAACUAAUAGUCAAUGGUAUAUGACUCAAGUCAACAUUAUUAACUGCAUGUUGGCGUGUUCCAUAAUUUAUCGUCCUUAAUACGGAUAGUUUCUUCCAUGUAAAGAUAUUAAUUUAUUGUCAUAUCACUGUUUAAUAACACAAAUUUAAAAGUAAAAAUAAAUUACUUUAAAAUCGAAAGAGAUAAAAAAUUACUUUCAAAUCUAGAGAUUAUAAAAAUAUUUUUAAAUUUGGAGGACUAAUAUAUUUUAAUUUACAAAAAUUAAAAUGUAAAUUUUGUAUUUGAGUGGUUAAAAAAUCACUUUUAAAUUUAACGGACUAAAAUAAAGUUUAAUGCAAAUUUUAAAGAAUAAAAAUAUUUUAGCCCGAAAAAUCUUAAAAAUGUAUUUUCACAUUAUUAUUUUACCAACAUGAUCUAGAUGUUAGCCACAUUAAUCAUGUUAACAACUAUGAAAAAUCAAAUUUAAAGAUUAAAAGUAUUUAUAAAUAAUAAUUAUCUAUCUUUUAUUAAAUAUAUUUUUAAUCUUUAAAAUAUAUUUUUAUCCGAAAUUUUAAAGUUAAAUAAAUGUAAUCAUUUUAAUUUAAUUAUGUUAACAUUUAUUUUAUACAUCAAAUAUGUUUCGUACUAGAAUUUAAAUUGUGUACAGUUGAAAAAUGUAUUUGACAAAUAAAAAUAUAACGUAAUUGAAAUUGAUUUAAAUGUUGAAAAAAGAAAUAGAAAAAAUAUCAAUAUUUCGAAUAAAUAAUUUUAAAGUGAUUAAAAACAUAUUUAAAGUUUGAGUUGAUUUCUGCAUGAUUAGUAUUAGGUAAAUUCGCAUUAUUUUUUAAUGAAAUAUUGACUUUCCAAGUCAUUUCAAAUGACCCGUAACAUAAGGUUCAAAACUUCAUGUAUAUAAUUCAUUUACAUGUGCUUUACACUCUACUUUUAUUCCUUUUAACUAUUUGUCAAGAAAAUCAAAUAAAUCAUAAACUUAAGAUUUUUUUAAGGAAAGAAAAUAACCAUAGAUAAAUGAAAAAUUAUGUAUAAAAUAAAAAAAAAAUUAUAUCCAAUAAAUUAUAAAAUUUAUAUUUUAUUAUUUUUGAGUCCUCGCAUUUGUCUCCAGUAGUUUUUAUAAUUGAUUUGUGGAGUCUUCUUUCCAUAAUUAUUAUUAGUGUAGGUGUGGUGACACAUAUUCUAAAGUAAGCUUGCAUAUUUGUCAAUGAAAGAUUGACUCAUUUAGUUUAUUUCUAUUAAUAAGUGUUAGUUGUUAGUUUUAUUUGUUAAUGAAAAAGUUAAACUUAUAAUCUUUUUCUUCUUCUUUUUUUUUUUUUUUUACAAACUCUUAAAAUCAAUUUUAUAUUUCAAUCGAGUCUUUCUACCGUACGAAAAUAUACAUUCAAAACUUUAUGACAAAUGCAUCGUAUUUAUCAACUUCACAUAUGUAUAUAUAAAUUUUGAUAUGUACAUUUAAAAUAUAUUACCAAUUAAAAUAUUCAAAUUUAAUAACUAUUAUUCAACAAUGCUUUAAGUAAAUUAUUUGAAUGAUGUUUUCUUUUUAAACCUAAUACGUUUUUUAUUUUACGAAAAGUGACUACCUAAAUAAAUAAAAUUUGUAUAUUUUAGUCAUAAUUUUUUUUUUUUAUUUACUAUUAAUGAAAACAGAUGUGCUACGCAUAUGUGUUUGCUUUUUUAUAAUAGUAAAAAAAAUAUUAUUAUUAUAGUAAUAAAAGUAAAUUUCAAUAAUUUUUACAAUUAUAUUGUAGGUAAUGUAUAUUUUUUUAGAUAAUGCUUUUAUUGUAAUAGUUAAUGAAAUUUUAAAGAAUUAGUUAAAUUUUAGAAAAAACGGUCAACUUGAAAAAAAAAACGCUUAAAAUUGAAAGAAAAAGUUACUUAAAGGAUAAAAUUUGUAAAAUAAUUAUUUUAAUUUAAAAAAUACUUAAAAAGAUAAAAUUAGAAAAAAAAAAUGUAUACACAAAAGAGAGAGACCUCUCUUCAUACAAGUAUAGUUAUAGAUAUCAGUGAAAACACAUAUUCUAAGCGCAUGUGUUUACCUCUCUUCUUUUUAUGAUAACAAAAACUAAUAAGAUUAUGAAUAUUAUAAUAAUAAUAAAAGUAAAUUAAAUUAUUUUUAUAAUUCCAUUGUAGGUAAUGUUUAUUUUUCUUAGAUAGUUUUUAUUGUAAUAGUUAUUAAAGUUUAAAAAAUAGUUAAAUUUUAGAGAAAAAACAAUCAAAUUGAAAAAAAAUUGUUAAAUUAAAAUAAUAAUCACUUAAAGGAUAAGAUUGAUAAAGUUAUUAUUUUAAUUUAAAAAAUACUUAAAACUUAAAAUUGAAAACAGAAUGUAUACACAGAGGUAAUCCUCUUUAUAUGUAUCUGUGUAUUAAAUAUAUAACGAGGGAAACUUUUCGAACAAGAAUUAAACUCGAAGAUAUUGGGUAUUGAAGAUGUACAAAAUGCUAAUUUAGAAAUGGUAGUGAGUUAAAAAAUAAUAAGACUUUAUUAUUUUAAUGUUAAAAGAAUUUAAUAUAAAAAAAAAUUGUUAUAAAUGAAUUUUAUUAUUUUAAAACGUAUAAUUUUUUUAUAAAUCACUUUUUUAGAAUUUUUUAUUUUUUUUCUAAGUGUUCUUGUUCCUAAGUCAUCUGUUUGACGAUCACGAUGUGUCUUUACGAUCACAGCGUCAAGGUUUACAAAUUUACCCGAUUAAUUUCAAGAAUAGAGUAAGUAAGUUUUGAUUCAUUUUUCUCUUUCCAAUCCGAAAUCUGUUUUAGAAUAAUCUAGUACUAUUGCAUGUGUAAUCAUGCUUCUUCUAGUCAUUCUUGGUUCACCUACAGUUCUAAGGACUCUACCCGUUUCCAAUUUGGUGUUUCGUAGGUUCGUCUAGAGAUUCCUUACGUUUCAAGCAAUCGACGAAACGUCCUUUGAAUAGGGUAGUUUACUGUGAGUUAAGGGAAGUUAGACUUUAUAGCGGAAAUUUAUGGUCUAAUUGAAUGAUAAAUUGAUUUGAGUAAUAAUUUAUAUGUUAAUGUUUCUACUAUUUUUUGUCAUGAUGACAAAUGAUCAAAUGAUGUGUGAAUGCUUGGUAUUGAGUGUUUAAAUGUUUCUGCAGUUUUGAUGAUGUAUGAUGAAGAUGUUUGACUGUUUGAAAUGGAAAGAAAAUGAGUGAAAUUGAAAAAGAGUCGGUUACUUGAGUUUUAAGCAUAAAAAGGGGAUGUUAAUUGGUAAAUUUUUUAGGAACUAGUUAAUUGAAGGGUAUAACAGUUCGAGGUCAAUUGGGAAUUCAUUUAGGACUUAUCAAGCUUUCAAACUAGUAAAAUCUGGUAUAAGAGGUUUUGAAUGGUUUGUGAGUGAGUUUUUACAUGUUUUUGGUUAUAACUUUGAGUUUUGAGUAGUGAAAUUGUGAGGGAAGGAUUGUAAACUGUUUUAGAGAGUUUUUGGUAAGUUAGGAGAUCAAUUAGGACUUGUUUAGAAGGCUUAUAUAAGAAAAGUUUGUUGUAGAAGUGAAAAGUGUUUCAUACGUUGAGUUCUUUAGUCAUUUUAGAGGUUUUAAGUGACGAGAAUGUAAAAUAGGAAGGUUGUGAUGAAAUUGAGUUGUUGGAGGGUGCUAACAAGUGUAUUUAUACUUGGUUGUGCAGUUUGUAAACUGAUAUAGAGGUUAGAAAGUGUAGAAUUGAAUUUGGUAGCUUAUAGGAGUGAAAAUGGGGUUUUAAGUGUCAAUUUGAGUUCCAACAGUGUUUACAGAGUUUUUAAAAGGUCUGAAGGGUCCUAGGGGUCUUUAGAAGUCGGGGUAAAGUGUUCAAAGUGAGAAAAUUGAAUUUUAAUUUUAUUGAUAGCGCUAGCGUUGAAAAUGACGAAAGUUACACUCUAGGAGUUGAAAACCAGUGCUGGGAGCUAAUGUUACAACACUGAGCGUUAUUCCUAGGCGCUCAGGUGCUACUAGGCGACGUUGUACCAGUUUUGGACCCUUCUGGAGCUAUUGGUGAGGGAUUCAAAGUUGUUUUCCUUGCCUAUGUUUGAGUUUGAAGGAGUUUUGUGUUGUUUAGUGGUUCUUCUUGGGUUGUUCUUGUGUAUUAAUGUAUAUGGAAUGGUUUCAUGUAAUUUUUGAUGACUUGUUGGGAUUGUUUAUGGUCCUUUGAAGUAUAAUCAAUGUUAUAUAUGUUUGUAUGCAAGGUCAAAGUGAACAGUUAUAUGUAUAUGGUUUCAAAUGGAUCCAUGUACUUACUGUAUGCAAUGUAUAUCUAAAUAUAUGGUUUAUAUGAGAAUGAAAGUGGUGUGUAAUGUAAUAUGAGAAAAGUGUGCUAUGAGAAGAAUCUCAAGGAGAGAUUCUAUAUUAUAGCAUGUUGUAAGAGAAUAUUUGAUAGAGAGAUUGUGGUACCCAGAUAUCUAGAUAUUCUACCAACUAUUUAACUCAUGUAUAGUUGAAUGGGGUGGCGGAGAGAAUGGCAGGAGGUCUUCACCCAAGCCCUCUGAGUUUUAGGAGUAGAAGAUUUACCUCAUGGUGACUAGGUCGAGUUACCCUUGUUUAUAACUCUGCAGAGUGUAAAUACUACCAUAAAUGCAUGCCUGUUGUAGUCUAUAUCAGCAUUAUAUCAAGAUUAAUGAGUAUAGUUAUUUUGUGGUUGAAUGAAUUGUUUGUUCUUGAAUGUUGUUAAUUGUUAAACCAAAUUAUUAUAUGAUGCUUUUCUUGUAUUUAACUUACCUUUACUUUUGUGUUGUCUGUUGUGUGUGUUGUUUUUUCUAUUUAGUUUUCUUAUAUUUGAAUUCCAGCUCUCAGAUAAUAUUUUUUUUUCUAUUCAGUUUUUUACUUUGCAAGUCAUAUCAAUUGUUAUAUUUGUGAGUGAGUGUGGUCUUCAAAAUUAAAGAUAUGUGAGAGGGGUUGUUAGUAUUCGAGUGCAGCUUGAGUGGUACAUCCAAGAAGCUUGACUUGCUUUGUGGUAGUGCACUUGGGGUCGUGCUUCGUGUUAGCUUGGAAUGCUUCUUUUUUGUGCUCUUGUUGGUUGCAUUAAUAUUGCUGGAGAGGGAGGUUAGUAUUUUUUUUUUUUUAAUCUGUUUGCAUGGUUACACUUGCCGGUUGCAUUGAUAUUGCUCAAGAGGGAGGUUAGUAUUAUAUUUUUGUUAAUGUGUUUGCAUGGUUACGGAAGACAACAUGAAUUGGAUAUCGAAAUCCGAAAAUGAACACAUUGGCAAUUGAGAUCCGAUGUAGGGAGCUUCGGAUUUUCAUAUUCGAUACAUGUUUUAUCUCUGUCAAAUGUUUACAUUAUAUUAUUUAUAUUUACAUUAUAUACUUGUUAUAUUAGUUUAUAAUGAAUCUAUGGAUAUUCGUUGUCCACGAUUUCGAACGUAAAAAUCCGAUUCAGGUUUAAUAUGAUAUAUAAAAAGUUAAUUAUAUUACUUAUUUAAUUAUUUUAUUAGUUUAUAUUUAGUUUUAAAAUUAUGUAUUAUUUUGUAUGAGUUUAUAAUGUAAUUAUAUAAUUUUUAAUUAAUAUAAACUAAUUUCUAUGAAUUCAUUAAAAUUAAUGUACAAUAUAGAAUAUCUUGUUAAAGAUAUUGAUAAGCAGACUAUAAAAUAAUUAAAGGAUAAUCAGGAAUAUUCGAAAGAAUAUUUAAUUAAAGAUAUUUAGCAACUAACCAGAUUUUCAAGUAAGUCUGUUUUAUUUUAGGGUUAAAUAUGUUUUUAGUCCCUAUACUUUGGGGCGAUUUUGGUUUUAGUCCCUCUUUCAAACUAAGGUACAAUUUAGUCCUUUAACUUUAGAAAACUCUAAUUUUAGUCCUUUUUACCAAUUUUUUUUAACUUUAUUGGCUAUUUCAAGCACGUUUCAUUAUAGCAUUUGGAUUGUUUACACUGUUUGACACAUUUUUUCUUCAAUGUUAACUGAGAAACGUGCUUGAAAUAACCAAUAAAGUUAAAAAAAAUUGGUAAAAAGGACUAAAACUAGAGUUUUCUAAAGUUAAAGGACUAAAUUGUACCUUAGUUUGAAAGAGGGACUAAAAGCAAAAUCGCCCCAAAGUAUAGGGCCGAAUGGUCAAAGGUGAAGGAGAGCGAACAGUCAAGAUCCAAGAAAAGCAAGCGAUCCGGUCAAUCUAAAUAUCGCGUUCGCCAGGUUAGUCUCUCGGUUCUACAAAAUAUCCACCGAAACAAUUAAUAAAACUAUUUUUGAUUAAGAAUAAACUUAAUGAGUCUAUCGGAUAUGAAAAUCCGAUGUUCUUGGGAUGUCAAAAUCAAUUCAUGUUUAAUGUUAUAUAUAAAAAUUUAAUUAUAUUUAUUAUUUUCAAACUAUGGUGUAAUUUAGUCCUCCAAUUUUAGAAAACUCUGGUUUUAAUAUUUUUUAUCAAUUUUUUUUAACUUUAUUUGUUGUUUCAAACACGUUUCAUUAUAGCAUUUGGAUUGUUUACACUGUUUGACACAUUUUUGCUUCAAUGUUAACUAAGAAACGUGCUUGAAACAACAAAUAAAGUUAAAAAAAAUUGGUAAAAAAGACUAAAACCAGAGUUUUCUAAAGUUGAAGGACUAAAUUGUACCAUAGUUUGAAAAUGGACUAAAACCAAAAUUGUCCCGAAGUAUAGAGACUAAAAACAUAUUUAACCCAAUUAUUUUAUUAAUUUAUAAUUAUUUUUAAAAUUAUGUAUGAUUUUUUAUGAAUUUAUAAUUUAAUUAGAUAAUAUGUAAUUGUUAAAAUAUAAUUCUUAUUAAUGUUUUAGAUUUUUGCAUGUUAAUUUAUUAAUAUUAUUUAACUAGGUUUGUUUUAUACAAAAAUUUGAUAAAACAAGUUAACUUCAUUUUUAUAAUUAUUAAUUUUUUUUAAUAUAAAAAAUGCAUUUUAAAUACUUAAUAUUUAUAAUUUUUUAGAUAUGAAAAUUGAUAUAAAAAAUUUUAAUAAUUUUUUAUAUAGUUUUAAGUUUAUUUAUUUUGGUAUUUUUUUUAAGUUGAUUACAUUCUUAAUAAAUUUAUAAAUGUAUAAUUUAUUGUAUUAGUUUAUGAUUUUAUAAUAUAAUUAUUAAUUUUGAAUUUAUUGUAUUAAUUUUUUAUUUUGUUAUAGGUGAUUAUAGUCUAAAUGAGCGAAUAUCGUUAGGGGAUGAAUUCUGAAAUAAAUUCUACCAUGUUACCAGAAUUUUUGUCCUUUAUAAAUGAGGUUGUUGAAGGAGAUCUGACGAAUCAUUUCACAACAAAUAAAAUUUUUUCCUCUCGUGAAAACUUAAUUGAAUGGGUAAGAAGGAUUGGAUAUGAUCUAGAAUAUGUAUGUUGUUGGAGGAAAACGUUUGUGUUGCUAAGAUAUGAAAGAGGUGGAAAAUAUAGAAAAUACAAACCCAAUGUCCAACCUAGUACGUAUGACACCCAAAAAUGUAAGUGUCCUUUCCAGUAAAGGGAAAAGCCAUCUUGUAAUGGCGAUGAUGGAUAUUCCAAGUGAUAUACGGAUACCACAACCAUGAUUUAGCAGAAACUUUAGUGGGACAUCCUUAUGCUGGUAGGUUUUAUUGGGUGUAUCGAGGAGGAGGUUACCUUGUGGAUUACACAAACACAAAUAACAUCCAACCACAUAAGGGAUCGACACCACUCUUUACCCAAAACCUUAAGGCAUUGGAUUAGUGGGUCUUUCAUAUUAUAUAGUGCUAUACUUUCUCAUUUUUAUCCAAUGUGUGACUUAGACUCACACUUGGAUUCCCAACAGAUAUGACUAAAACCCAAGUAACACUUGCAAAUAUUUUGUUGACUCUCAAACAAAAUAAUUAUCAUAAUGUAACUACAAUAAAACAAGUUUACAUAGUAAGGUAUAUAUAUAUAUAUAUAUAUAUAUAUAUAUAUAUAUAUAUAUAUAUAUAUAUAUAAACGCUUGUUGAGACGGUCGAAAGCUAAGUUGUAAAAGUUGAUGAUGAUGUUGGAUUGCGACAAGUACAUACAUUGGAGUAGAUGUGUGGAGGAUUGAGGUUGUCAGUGACCUCUUUUGGACACAUCAUGAUGCAAUCAAGUUAUUGAAUUAUUUAAUGUUGUUUUGUUAAUGGAUUCGACUUAUAAAACAAAUAAAUAUCAAUGUCGUUGUUAGAGAUUGCUGGUAUGACAUUUAUUGGAUUGACACUAGUGCAAAAACGUUGUUUAACGUCACCCAUUAGACGUCGGUUUCGUGAAAAACCGACAUCUAUCACUGCACGGUGGCAUUAUCGUAAAUAUAUUGGAAAACUAGACGUCAGUUACGCUGUUAGGCGACGUCUAUGACAUCAUAGACAUCGAACAUGCCGACUAUCCGACGUCCAAUUGUCUGAGGUAUGUGAUAAGACAGUCAAUUCGACAUCGGCUAGAAAAGGGCACCGACGUUCAAGUCACUUACAGGAAAUCAAACGUCAACUGGUUCAGCUUUAGACGUCGCAUAGACGUCGGAUCCCCUAAAAACCCGACGUCGACUGGGCGACAAUUUAUGCUGUUCACCUAAUUCUCAGGCACUUAGACGUCAGAUAGUCAAACGGCGACGUCUAAGGCCUGUCUGGAAGGCGGGAAGACAAAAAUUCUUCAAUUUUGACGUCGGCUAGGAGGGGCACCGACGUGAACUACCCUGACAGGAAAUCAAACGUCAAUCUUUUCAGCUUCUUUGACGUAGAAUAGAUGUCGAAUCCCCUGAAACACCGACGUCUAUAGACGUCGGUUUCUGGAGCAACUGAUGCCCCAUUUCAUUUUAAAUAGACCGCAGACUCUUAUCGUCAUUCAGUUUCUCAUCACAUCUUCAUCUCUUCUCCUUUUUCUCUAUUUCUCCUCUUCUUUUACUCGCUUGCGCACCUCUACUUUUUAUCUCUUGCGGCAUUGCAUUGUGGUUUCUCAUAACGUCAUGGUCUUCGUCCUCUCCUGCAUCCUAGGUGUGUGGUUUUUUUUUAUGCUUUACCGUUUAAACUUUCUUUAGUUUUUUAUCGAUUUUCUUGUCAUUCAACUGAUUAAAAUUUGGCUUUCUUUGUGUUGUGUUUUAGUGCAGUUUUGAUCCUUUCUUUGGGUAACAUAGUGUAACAUUCUCCCUUUGCUGGUUUCCUCACAAGAAGAGUGGCGAUCUUUUGAGUUUUCUAUGGCUUUUCGACCCAAAAUGGAACUUGGGUCCUUGUCUAGUUCUCGUGUCACCGUAAUUUUUUUCUUUUGCGGUUGAAUAAUGGGAAGUAGUCAUGGACCCAGGUUCGGUUUUGGGUUGAAAGGUCAUAAAAGAUUCAAAAGACGCAAGCUUUUUUUGUGGGGAAAUUAGCGAGAGGAGAGUGUUGCACUAUGCUAUCGAAAGUUUGGAUCAAAACUGCACUAAAACACAACGCCUUUGUUAGACGUCGGUUAGUGCAUGGUCUGACAUCUAUAAGGAACAUAGACGUCGGUUAGUGUCAUUUACAACUUCUAUAUAUUCAUGUUGUCGUCGGUUUAAGCAUAGGUGGACGUCUAUAUAGAGUAAUUAGACGUCGGUGUAAGUAUAAGCAGACAUCUAUGUAGACGUCGAUCGAUAUCGUUAAUUGACGUGCAUAUAGACGUCGGUUCGGAGGAAUUGCGACGUCCCAUAGACGUCACCCGUAUAGACGUCGGUUGUGAAAGUGACGUUAAAAGCCCAAAUUAACCGACGUUAAAUAGCGUUUCUGCACUAGUGUGACUUCCUUAAUAUAUAAACUUGUUGAAGAGUAUAAAGAGGCUGUCAUUUGAUCUCAAUUAUAAUAUCUAUUGAAUAUAUAUAUAUAUAUAUAUAUAUAUAUAUAUAUAUAUAUAUAUAUAUAUAUAUAUAUAUAUAUUUGAAUUGGAUACCAAAUAAAUAUAUUAAUAACAAUAUUUAAUUGGGAUUACAACAAAAGAAAAAAAUACAGUACAAAAUAGAAAAUAGCAAGUAAAACCAAAUGUUGUUUAAUAACUUCACUCUUUACUUACGCACGUAAGUUGAGAUGUCGAGUCCAUCAAUUGAAGAUGAGCUUUAAACUACAAGCUCAUUGACAACCUCCUUCAUAGUAGGGCGAGAUUGUGGACUUUCAGUCAUGCAAGCAAGUGCUAUCUUCGCAACUGAUGCCACCUCUUUAAGUAAAUGUUUUGUUGGAGGAGGGAGACGCUGCUCCAACUUAUCCAUCAAUGUCAUAUGAUCAACAGUGGACGAAGAUGAUAAUAAGGAAGAUAUAAAAUCACCAGGAUGCUUUCCCAGAAGUAUUUCCCAUGCCAAUACUCCAAAACUAUACACGUCACAUUUUUCAUUCACUUCCAUUAUGUAUGCAAGUUCUGAAACAAACUAAAAAGCUGAUAUCAUAUGCAUUAAAGGAAAAUAUAGUGACAAAGAUAAAAUAUAGAUAAUUGUGACCAACAAAGAAAAACUAAAAACUAUGGUACAAGGAAAGAAAAUUGACCUGGAGCGGCAUAUCCGAAGGUUCCUACAAAUGAGGUCCAAUUGGAUGAAUUGGGAUUAAGAAACUUNGNUGUUCCGAAAUCNGAGACAUGUNCCACAUAUUCNAAAUCCAAAAGGACAUUUUUACUUGAUAUAUCACGAUGAAUAAUUGGUGGUGAGCAAUCAUAAUGCAUGUACAAUAAAGCAUUUGCUACAUCUUUAAUAACAUUCACUCUCUUAUUCCAAUCAAAAGCAAUUGCUUGUUCAUCAUCCUUCAAAAUAUUCUGGACAUUGCCCUUCUCCAAGAAUUCACACACCAUAAAUGACCAUUGAGAAUGUGAACAAAACCCAUAUAACUUUACAAUGUUACGAUGCCGAAUUUCUGUCAGAGCUUGGAUCUCACUUGUGAAAGCUUUCACAUUGAGGUUUUCUUCAUUUGAAACUGAAUGAAGUUUCUUUACAGCCACAACUUGACCUGAGGAUAACACUGCUUUGUAAACUUGUCCUUGCCCUCCAACUCCAAUGAGAUGCUUAUCGUCAAAAUUUUCAGUGGCUUCAACAAUAUUCUCGAAUACCAUUUUGCCAUCAAAACUCCAUAUUGCAAAUGUGUUUGAAGUUUGCAAAUUGGUAGGUUGAUCUUCCAGUUUCGCUGAAGUUUUGCAUAAAUAAUAAAAGACUCCAAAAAUAAAUAAUGCUAGUAAUAGACUGCCCAAAGUAAGGGGUAAAACCACUAUUAUGACUUUCUUUGUCGUUUGAUUGUGCGACUUUCGACCUAAUGUUGGGCAAGGCUCCAAGCCACUAAUUUGGCCACACAAGCCUUUAUUAUUUCUUAUAGCUUCCAUUGUAGCAUUGCGAAACACUGGAAUGUUUGGAAGUGGACCCUCAAAAUCAUUGUAAGAUAUAUCAAUAGAUGUCAAGCUCAUCAUAUCAUCAAAGCUAGAAAGAUCACCUGAGAGACUAUUGUGAGAGAGAUUCAAUGUUUCUAAUUUUUGUAAUCCUCCAAGCACAUGUGUUAAUCUUCCCCUCAAUAAAUUUUCACUGAGAUCAAGAGUUGUAAGAGAUAUUAAUUUGCCAAGCUCUAAGGGAAUAUUUCCCUCAAAUUUAUCCAGGCUCAAAUUCAUGUUCCAUAAAUUGAAUAAAUUUCCAAGUUGGAUUGGAAUUGAGCCAGACAAAUUAUUAGAUCCAAGACUCAGAAUUUGAAGAUUCUUCAUUGAUACAAUUUCUAUUGGAAUAUUUCCUGAAAGAUUAUUGUUGUUGAGUGAUAGAUCAUAUAAUAAGACCAAAUUACAUAAAUCUCGUGGAAUGUUUCCCGUAAGAUGAUUUGAGAAUAAAUGAAGUGCUUGUAAUUUGGUUGCCCCGCCUAGCUCUGGUGGGAUAAGACCUGAUAAGUUAUUAUUUGAGAUCUUGAGGCUUGUGAGGCUGCGGAACUUCCCCCAAUUUGGUGAAAGAUGACCAUACAAAUUGUUUUCACUCAAUUCGAUGUAGUCCAAGUUUGGAAGUACACCAAAAGCAUCUGUUAUGUUUCCAGUUAGUUGAUUUCCCUCAAGUCUCACUCGUAUAAGGGUAGAGCAAUUCUUCAAACUCUCUGGAAUAUGGCCAGUGAAAUGGUUAUUCCUAGCGGAAAAUUUUGCCAACUUUCCACCAACACAAAUGUUGUAAGGUAAAUGGCCAACAAAAUUAUUAUCACCUAGCUGAAAAUUUUCAAAACCUAUAAUCAUGUUUAUUUCUAUUGGAAUCUUGCCACUGAGAUUAUUGUCAAAUAAAGAUAAUUCACGAAGCUUCGACAAAUUUCCAACAGUGGAAGGAAUGGAUCCAGAGAGGUUGUUUUGAUUAAGAUAAAUGGCUUUCAAAUUGACCAGGUUACCUAUGGAAGUAGGGAUUGGUCCAGAGAGGUUGUUUUGAUCAAGAUAAAUGGCUUCCAAAUUGACCAAGUUACCUAUGGAAGUAGGGAUUAGUCCAGAGAGUUUGUUUUGAUAAAGAGAAAGAAAUUCCAAAUUGACCAGGUUACCUAUGGAAGCAGGGAUUGGUCCAGAAAGAUUGUUUUGAUAAAGUAAAAUAGAUUCCAAAUUGACCAGGUUACCUAUAGAAGUAGGAAUUGGUCCAGAGAGAUUAUUGCCCAGCAACUGGAUUGUUAGAAGGGAAUGCAAAUUUCCUAUUUCAUCCGGGAUAAAGCCAGAGAAUUGGUUGUUAUAAAGGUAAAGAAAACUUAGAUUGCUCAAGUUUCCAAUUGUGGAAGGGAUUUUACUAGAGAGAAAAUUCUCAGACAAAUCAAGUUCACUGAGUUUUCUCAAAAAUCCAAUUUCAUGAGGAAUAAAACCUGACAAUCGGUUUCCUUUAAGGUAAAGUUUGUUUAGAUUGCUCAAAUAUCCAAUUUCACGAGGAAUAGAGUCGGAGAGAUUAUUACUUUGAAGAUAUAGCAUCUUGAGGUUUAUCAACUUACCAAUUUCACUAGGAAUAUGACCAGAAAGUUGAUUGUCAUGUAAGCUGAGAAGUGAUAGAUUGGUCAAAGCUCCAAUUGAAAAAGGUAUGGACCCAAAUAGACCAGAAGAACUCAUGUCAAGCUCUAUUAAUUUCCCCAACAUCCCAAUUUCUUGGGGGAUGGUGCCAGAAAGGCCACUUUCCGCAAGAUAUAGAAUCUCUAGGUUCCUCAUAUUCACAAUUUCUUUGGGAAUGGAACCAUGGAAUUUAUUAGUUCCAAAUGACAAAUGGUCUAGGUCCAUGUGCCAAAUUCUCUGAGGAAUGCUGCCAAAAAGGUUAUUGGCUCUUACAUCUAGAUGAAUCAAAUUGUUCAACUUUUCUAUAGAGAUUGGGAUUGUCCCUGUGAGAUUGCAAUAAGGAAUAUGAAGCAUUUUGAGCUCCCUCAAUCUCCCUAUUUCUUGGGGAAGGGACUCACUGAAAGUAUUAUAACUCAUGUUCAACUUUUGAAGGCUAAUCAACUGUGUUAUUUCAGAAGGGAUAAUCCCAGAAAGUUUAUUAGCAGACAAAUCAAGAACAACUAGAUUGGACAGAACACCAAUUUGAGGAGGAAUACUUCCAUUUAGAAAGUUGGUACUCAGAUUUAGAGUGUGAAUAUUUGUAAGCAUUGAGAAAUUGAGAUUUUCAAGCGUACCUCUUAAUCCAAUAUUUUGAAGAUUUAUUUGGGAAACAUGAUUGGAGUGAUCACAUGCAAUUCCGAGCCAAUUGCAGGAAGUGUUGGCAAUCCAUGAAGAGAGAGAAGCUUGGCUCUGCUUGUCAAGGCUGGCUUUCCACUUUAGCAGAGCAUUUGCUUCUGAAGCAAUUCCAGAAGAAUUGAAAGCAUGAGAAUGGGUAAAUGGACAAAAGAACAUUAGAAGAAUCAACCAAAAAGGUUGGAACUUCAAGGACAGAAGUGUUGGAAAUAUGAACAUCAUACUGAAUUGUUCAUACAAUAUUGAAUUGCAACGUAAGAGAAAGCUUGCAUGUUGUUCAUACAAUGUGCCGCUACUUAUAAACUAAUAGUCAAUGGUAUAUGACUCAAGUCAACAUUAUUAACUGCAUGUUGGCGUGUUCCAUAAUUUAUCGUCUUUAAUACGGCUGUAAGUUUCUUCCACUUAAAUUUAUUAAAGGACUAAAAUAUUUUAAUUUGCAGAAAUUAAAAUGUAAAUUAUAUAUUUUGAGUGGUUAAAAAAUCACUUUUAAAUUUAACGGACUAAAAUAAAGUUUAAUGCAAAUUUUAGAGAAUAAAAACAUUUUAGCCGGAAAAAUCUUGAAAAUGUAUUUCCACAUUAUUAUUUUACGGACAUGAUCCAGAUGUUGUUAGCCACGUUAACCAUCUUAACAACUAAUGUAACGAUAUUAUAUUAUUGAUGAGGAACAAAAGGAUUAUUUUUAGAAUUUUAAAAUUAAAAGUAAUUUUUAAUUUAGGAAUCUAAAUCAGAAAAAAAAAAUCAAAUAUAAAGAUUAAAAGUAUUUAACGAUAAAGUUGUUAUUUAUGUUUGAAUUAAAUAUUUUUUUUUAAUUUUUAAAUUUUGAUCUGAAAUUAGAAUAUGUGUCUACUUAAAAUUUUGAUUCAUUUUUAUCCAAAAUUUUAAUAAUAAUAGAUAUAUUUAUUUUAAAUCAAUUAUUUUUGUGAGGAAAAUGAAAUAAAUCAUAAACUUAAGAUUGUUUUUUAAGGAAAGAAAAUAAUUAUUUAUAAUAGAAAAGUUGUGUAUAAAAUAAAAAAAUUAUUUCCAACAAAAUUAUAAAAUUUAUACUUUAUUAUUUUGGAGUAAAAAGAUGUAUCUCGCAUUUGUCUCCUGUAAUGUUUAUAAUUGAUUUGUGGAGUCUUGUUUCCACAAUUAUUAUUAGUGUAGGUUUUGUGAGAUAUAUUCUAAAACUUGCAGUUUUGUCAAUGAAAGAUUGACUUGAGUACUUUUUUUAUUGACAAGUGUUAAUUGUUCGUUUUAUUUAUUAAUGAAAAAUAAUUACACAUAUUUUUACGCUGUAAAAAUUCUUUAUCUUUAAUAAUACAUCGUCUAGUCUUUGAAAAAAUUUCUUAGUAACAAAUCUUUUGUAUUAAUCAAGAUUCUCUCUAAAAGAGAUUUUCAAUUUGUACUUAUUUAAAAAAAAUACUUUAUUAUUUUUAUGAUUUAAAACAUUUGUUUGUUUAACUUAAAAAAAGUUAAAUGGUUUUAGUCAAUUGAGUUAUUGUAAUACUAAGAACGGUGAACCAAAUUGUAAUUUUUUAAAGUUAGUGAAACUUUUUAAGAAUGUUUGUGCUUAAAAGAGAAUGGACUUUGUCAAUUGGAGUGAACUAAUAAUGACUAAGGAUGAGAUGUCUUUUUUAGAUAGUUUAAAUGAAUGCAUAUUUAUUAAAUAAGAGAGCAUAUUUUCUAUAAUAAAUGGACGUUAUAUGACUUGUUAGAUUCAUCGUUGCUAAUUCAAUAAGCGACAUAUUAGAAGACAUUAUAUUAUAUGUUAUGUGGAAACAUACUUUUUUGCAUGUGCUUAUGUGUUGUUGGCAUACAACAUGGAUAAUAUAUUUUCAUGUUAUUUUGCUUGUUGUAUGGUAUAUGUUAUUGAUGGGUCGGUCCAACUGAUGCGUUAGGCAGAAGUCAGUCAGAGCAAAUGGUUUUGUAUAUAAUGGGUCGAAAUUGGUCCAACAUCUGAUUUACUAGACCGUAACAAGACCAAUGCGUAAAUUAUGAUUAGGAAGCCAAUAAUUAUUAUUGGAUUAUAACUGGCAGUUAGCAAAAUAAUAUAUAGAAAAGAAGGUAAGACAAUUUUAUUAGAUCCGUAAUAGUUUAAGAUCCAACAGAUAGCCUAUAAAUAAAGGGUUAGACCAUUAAGAUACGCAAGUUUUACAAAAUUCUGAAUGUACAAUAUCUGUCAAAUAUCAUCAUUAUUCUCAAGCCUGUCAUUGACUUAAGCGUCGGAUCUGAAGUGCCUUUAACCGACACCUCUCCCCGAAAUUGGACUGAAAGAACUUGAAGUACGAGAUACAAAGGUCAGAUGGCAAAGACAAAAAUGUUAGUCUCUUAGUCCUACAUAAAAUAUAUACAGAAACACUUGUGUAUAGACUUCAUUAUACUUUCAUUAUUGAAAGAAAAAUGCUUACGGAGAAUAAAUCAAAUUUAGAAGAAAAAUAUAUUUGGAAAACUUUGUAAAAUACAAUAUCACUUUUUUUUAUUCACUGUUGCAACAUUAUGUGUCAAAACAAGAAUUUUUUGAUCAACUUAAAUUCGAGCAUGCUUUUCAAAGCCUUGUGUCUUACAAAGCCUUCGUAGUGACAAAAAUCCAAACAACUUUGCAUUGUAUAAUUUUUUCAGACUUGAAGAAUCCCUUAUCAAUCAUUUCAAACGAUGGUGUACACCCAAUUGCAUCAUCAAUUGUUAGAUAUGAUCUUUUAUAAAAUAAUUUAUUAUUAUUUUGAGUAUAUUUUGUAGCAUUAGUUGCCUAAAGGUUAACCUCAAUUAUAGCUUGUCAGUUAUAAUGGCAACCUAAAUUAUAGCUUGAAAUUUGUAUAUAUUCCUUAUCAAUGAAUAUGCAAAGCACAGAUGAUUUUCUUCAUGGUAUCAGAUUAGGUUACCUUCCUCAAAUCCUAAAAACCUAGUCGUCAUUGUUCUUCUCUUCUUCCAAGCAAUUUCUUUUCCCCCUUCCUUCUUCCCAUUGUUGCCCAUCAAUGGCCGAAAAUUCCAAAUUUCACUCUGCCCUAGCUGUCACCAACGUGAAGCAUCUUAUUCCAAUCACCUUGGACAUGGAAACCGGCCAAUAUCACUCAUGGGCAACCUUAUUUAAGGUCCAAGCUAAAGUUCAUUCAGUGCUUGAACAUAUCAUCCCUCCACCGGAUGAUGCAGCCAUAACAACAUAUCAAACAACCAAGGCCGUUGAUAUCCCACUAUGGAACCGUCUUGAUGUUGUUGUACUUCAAUGGAUUUAUGCGACUAUAUCUCCUUAUAUUCUCACAUCGAUCCUCGUGGCUGAUGAUUCGGCUGAAAGAGCCUGGCAGCGUGUCGCUGAUUUAUUCCAAGAUAACAAAAACUCUAGGGCGAUGUAUCUUGAAACUCAGUUCACAAACACGUGCUUGACUGAUUUCUCCUCAACCUUCGCCUAUUACAACCACCUCAAAUCUCUUGCUGACCAAUUAUCUAACGUCGGGGCUCCUAUUUCAGAUCAACGUUUUGUGCUCCGCUUGCUCGCUGGAUUAACUGAAGCCUAUGCUAGUUUUGUCACGGUUAUGCAACAGAAAGAUGAAUUGCCCAGUUUUGCUACAACAUGUUCUUGUUUAAAGAUGGAAGAGACCACGAUUAAGGAGUGAGCAACCCGUGAAUCUGGUUCCACUGCCCUCUUAACCGUGGAUGAAGGCUUCUUUUCACAGCCGCAACACCAAAACAACAACAUCACUUAAUCACAGGGUCGUAAUAAUACCAAUCGAGGCAAGAAAAACAACCGAGGUAGAAGAUAUGUAUCUUGUUCUAUGUUUGAUUAUGUUGAUAAAAUCAGUAUGUAUGUAUGUAUCUUGUUAUUAUGAUUGUUUUAUCGGUAGCUUACCCCAUACAUGUUUGUGUUUGUGUGUUAGUGAAUGAAAUUAUCGGUGAUGAUCGUAUAAUUUGUUACACAUGAGAAAAUAAUAUUACAGAUGUUCCAAAGGCGUGAUUGACUAGAGAAAGGAUGCAAAAUAACCUUGGGAUUCAUUUAAAGCUAUUUUGUUUUACAAGUUAAGACAAAUUGGAGUAUUUCCUUUGUUAUUUUAUUACUCGAAAUAAUGUAAUUGGAUAAGGUUUUCUUUAAGUACGUUUUUGUGUAAUGAUAAAGUUUUGAUAUUUACCAAGCUUUUGUUAAACUGCGGCAUCCCAAAAAUUGGGGUGUUACACUUCCUACACCUCCAACUCCCUAAAAUGUCCCUAGUAAAUGAGGUUUGUAAGUAGUAAUUGUUGCUUACCGAAUUUGAACUUCCAACCACUACUUCAUUCACCGUCAUCCCUUUUUUCCUCCUUAUAUCCUCUUUCUUCAUUGUCAUUUAUUUUGUUUUCUUUCUUGUUGUGGUCCAUUAUUGUUUCAAUUGUUUUAGUGUGGCUUUUCUUUGUGGUGCAUUUGUCAUGGUCCAUUUUAGGUGGGGUGUUUGUGGUUUGUGUUCCUGGUGUUGGUGUGUCUAGUUCAUUUUGUCGGGAAGAAAUAGUCAUAUGCUGAUAUAUCUUCGUCUUCAUGCAAGCUUUCACUGCCUUCAAAAGCUUUCUCUGUGUGAAAAGCAAAUGCAUGAAACCUAUACUCCAAUUCGCAGGGUUCAAUGGAUUUCGAAAUCCCAUGAGACCUCAAAGAAUUUUGAAAUUUGUCAAUGCCUUCAAUGGAUUCCUCGACGAAUUUCGAAGGCCUCGAUGGAUUUUAAAAUCCAUUAAAGAAUAUUUCUACUAUUAGUUAUAAUUUUAAGUAUUUCCAAAUUAUUACAAAUUUUUUAUUUAUUAUUAAUUUGUUAUACGGUUUUUUUUAAUUUCCUUUAAAUGUUUUAUUAUUUUAAAUGUGUGAAUAAUUUGUUACAUAGUUUUUAAUAGUUUUAUUUUGAAGUUUCAUUAUUUAAAAUUUUUAAAAAAUUUGUUAGAGGGGUGAAUAUUAUGUUACAGGUGAUUAUACUAUAAACGAAACAAUACACUUAUGAUAUGGAUUUUCAAGUAAAUUCUAAAUUUAUAUAAAAUUUUAAUAAUAUACUUAUAAUAUACAGAAAGUUUGUUUUGAUAAAGUAAAAUGGAUUCCAAAUUGAUCAGGUUACCUAUGGAAGUAGGGAUUGGUCCAAAGAGGUUCUUUUGAUAAAGAAAAAUGGAUUUCAAAUUGACCAGGUUACUUGGAAGUAGCGCUUGGUCCAGAGAGGUUGUUUUGAUAAAGAAAAAUGAAUUCCAAAUUGACCAGGUUACUUGUGGAAGUAGGGAUUGGUUUGAAGAUGAUGUUUUGAUAAAGAAAAAUGGAUUCCAAAUUGACCAAGUUACCUAUGAAAAUAGGGAUUGGUACAGAGAGGUUGUUUUGAUAAAGAAAAAAGGAUUUCAAAUUGACCAGGUUACCAAUUGAAUUACGGAUUGGUCUAGAGAGGUUGUUUUGAUUAAGAAAAAUGGAUUUUAAAUUGACCAGGUUACCUAUGGAAGUAGGGAUUGGUUUAGAGAGAUUGUUUUGAUGAAGAUAAAUGGAUUCCAAAUUAACCAAGUUACCUAUGAAUGUGUGGACUGGUCGAGAGAGGUUGUUUUGAUAAAGAAAAAUGGAUUCCAAAUUGAUCAGGUUAUCUAUGGAAGUAGAGAUGUGUCUAGAGAGGUUGUUUUGAUAAAGAAAAAUUGUUUCCAAAUUGAGCAGAUUACCUAUGAUAAUAGGGAUUUGUCCAAAGAAGGUUGUUUUGAUUAAGAAAAAUGAAUUUCAAAUUGACCAAGUUACCUAUGGAAGUAGGGUUGGGUCUAAAGAGGUUGUUUUGAUGAAGAUAAAUAGACUCUAAGUUGAUCAGGUUACUUAUGGAAGUAUGGAUUGGUCCAAAAAGAUUGUUUUUAUAAAGAAAAAUGGAUUCCAAAUUCAUCAGAUUAGUUAUGAAAAUAGAUAUUGGUCCAAAAAGGUUGUUUUGAUGAAAUAAAAUGACUUCCAAAUUAAUCAAAUUACCUAUGGGAGCAAAUUAGAUUUGCCAAUCGACGCAGUGAGGUUCCUGAGUUAUGCUUUGAAGUGUACUCUAAUCUCUUCAAAUUUCAAAAACCUCCAAAAAGUACCGAUGAGAGUUUGAAAACAAAAUAAUGUCAGCGACUUAGAUGAAAGAGAAACAGAAAAAGGAAAGAAAGAGAACACGUUUUUGUCGAAUUAUUGUGCAUAGAAGGAAGUCUUUUGUUUUCCUAUUAGUACCCCAUAAUUUCCAACUACACUCCUUUAUUUUUUUAAAAUAUUUCACUCUUAAAAGGUGAUUUUUGUAUUACUUAUUUUAAAAUAUUUGGAAACAAGUUGUUUAGAAUUUAUGGAUUUCAGAACCGAGUCUUAAAAACAGGUUUAAAUGCAUUUUAGAAGUUUUUCAAAACAAAUGUUUUUGGAAUAUAUCAUAAGUUUUUCGGAAAAAAGUUUUCUAAAACAAACUUUUUAAAACAUAUAAGAUGGAUGCAUUCUAGAAUAGGAUUUUCAAAACAAAAUUUCUAAAAUAAGAUUUGUAGAAUAAGAUUUCUACAAGAUUUCCAAAACAUAUAUGAUAUCUUCUAUGAUGAGUUUUUAGAUAAUUUUCCUACCAAAUCGAUCAUUUUAUCUCUCUUUAUUUUUUUCUCUAAAGAAUGUAGUGGUUAUGAAGUACAGAUAGCAAUUGCGACCACAAGAAUGAGAGGAUAGUUUAAUCCUUUUGCUUUUAGUAUAAGAAUGCAUGUAAUAAUCAUGGGAUGCAAAAAGAAAAGACCACGAAACCCACUAAAAGCUCAACUGAUGACCAUAAAAUAGUGGGUGUUCCUCCCUCCAAGUGGGUCUUGCACCUCUCCACUAUUUUAAUUUAUUUCAAAAAUAUUCUAUACUUUUCCACUAUUUUCUUUUAUUCCAAAAAUACCCUCCACCUCUCCACUAUUCUUAACAACUUUUCUCUUUCUCUCUCUGUAUUAAUGGAGAAUUUAUAUGGCUUAUUAAUGGAACAUUUACAUGACUCAAAUUUGAACUUGUGAUAUAUUUUCUUAAAUAAGUUUGAUUCAAUCUUAUUUUAGUUGUUGAAUAUAUUUUUUCUUUUCAAAUUACUUAGAAAAUGGUAAAAUUUUGUUCUAAAUUUCUAGAAAAAUAUUUAUAUAUGUGUGUGUUUUUUUUACAUAUAAUAUCUAUAAUUUUUAACAUUUUAUUAUGUUUUAAUUCACCAACAUGUUUGACUCAAAUAACUUGAAUAAAAUAUUUCAUUUAUUAGAUAAAUAAUAUAAAAUGUUAUUAAAUACUUAAAAUAUAAAAAAAAGUUAUUUGUUAAAGAUUUAGAAUUUAUUUAGUUCUUUCGUCAUUAUAAAGUUAGUGUAUAAUAAUAAUAAUAUAUCAUUAUUUACUAUUAAUAUUAUGUUUAUUAUUUUGUAUUUGCAUCUAACUUUUAAUUUUAUAAAAUGGAAAUGGUAGAAGUACUAAUAUUGAAGUUUCCUCUGAAUUUUAUAUUUUGUAGUAUAUCUCAAAUUCAAAUCUGAAUCAUGUAAAUGCUCCAUUAAUGCAGAGAGAGAAAGAGAAAAAUUGUUAAGGAUAGUGGGAGGUGUAGGGUAUUUUUGGAAUAAAAAAAAAUAGUGGAGAGGUGUAAAAUAUUUUUGAAAUAAAUGAAAAUAGUGAGAAGAUGCAGGACAAGAUGGAGGGAGCAACACCCUAAAAUAGUUUACAAAUUGAAAUUGGACAAUUUCUUCCAUGUGCACCCCAAGGAGAUAGUUGAAGAGAGUUUCUCUCUACACCUCAAAACGUUUCUUCCUACACCUCCAUCACUUCAUUCAUUCAGUGUCAUCCCCUUCUUCCUCCUUAUAUUCUCUAUUUCUUCGUUGUCAUUUAUUUUAUUUUCUUUCUUGUUUUGGUCCAUUGUUGUUUCAAUUGUUUUAUUCGAGUUUUUCUUUGUGGUCCAUUUCAAGUGGGAUGUUUGUGGUUGGUGUUCUUGAUGCAAGCUUACUUUGCCUUCAAAACCUUUCUCUACGUAAAAAACAAUGCAUGAAAGCUGGCAUUUUUUGUCAAUGAAAAAUUGACUACAAGUCAAUGGAGACGACUCAUUCAAAACUUUAUGAUGGAAUAGUAAAAUAUAUUGAUUUAUAUAAUAUAGGGUUAAAUAUGUUUUAGUCCCUAUACUUUGAGGCGAUUUUGGUUUUAGUCCCUCUUUCAAACUAAGGUACAAUUUAGUCCUUCAACUUUAGAAAACUCUGGUUUUAGUCCUUUUUACCAAAUUUUUUUAACUUUAUUUGUUGUUUCAAGCACGUUUCAUAUAACAUUUGGAUUGUUUACACUGUUUGACACAUUUUUGUUUCAAUGUUAACUGAGAAACGCGUUUGAAACAAUAAAUAAAGUUAAAAAAAUUCGGUAAAAAGGACUAAAACCAGAGUUUUCUAAAGUUGAAGGACUAAAUUGUACCUUAAUUUGAAAGAGGACUAAAACCAAAAUCAUCCCAAAAUAUAGGGACUAAAAACAUAUUUAACCCUACAAUAUAAUUCAACGUGUAUAACAAUGUUUAAUAUAAAACUUACAGUCAACAUAAAUUAUUACAAAAAUAUGAUUAUCAUUCCAAUACAUGCUUAUAAGAAGAUUAGUUGAAUAAUAUUUUUAUUUUUAAAAUCUUAUAUUUUAAUAAUUUUAAGAAAAAAUAACUAUAUAAAUAAGAAAGAGCUUUGUAUAUUAUUGUAUUUUUUUUCCAUUUUUAUAAUUUGAAAGUUUAAAAAUGAAUUUGGAAAUUCCUUAUGAUACUACAUGUGAUUUCAAUAAAAUAGUAAUUGUAUCAUAUAAUUUGUAUCUUACCGUUAUCUGAUAUGUGUCAAUAUAUGUAAUAAAAGUUUGAUACGUUGCUCUUAUCAUAAUUUGAUGCUUUAAACGAGUCGUUUUAAGGGUUUGACAAGCUUUUAUUUAUUGUGUGAUUGAAUUUAUAGGUAAUAAAGUCAUAUUCAUAAAAUGAAAAUUAAGUUAAGCGAAGAAUUGAUGUAUGGAUUUUAUUUUAUAUGUUUUCAAACGUGUUUUUAACUAAUAUUUAAAUAAAAAUGUAUCAAACUGAAUAAAUAAUUCAAAUUUUAUUAUGAAAUAUAUUUGAAAUGUAAAAUAAACUUAACAAAAUUUAAUUAAAAUAAGGAUUAAAUUCAUGUAUUUCUAAAAUUGAGUAACUAAAUUGAAUUAAAGUUUCGAAUAGAAAUUAAUUCUAAUUUUCACUAAACGACCAAAAACAUAUUUAAUCUUAUAUUUUUUGCAUUAUUCAUCAUUUGUAUUUUAGGAUCAUUUUAGUGUUGUUGAAAGUGAUAUUUCCUAUUUUUCCCAUUGUUUUGCAUUAAAGAUGAGCGGAAUCACAUAAGGCAUGAAUACUAUUUUCAAUUCAAAACCUUAAGACAGUGUAUUAAUGGGUCUUCACUUUUAUAAGAUAUUCCACUUUCUCAUUUCUACUCAAUAUAAGACACAUACUUAGAUUCCCGGUAUAAUUUCUAUGUGACUAGGAGGUGUAAUGGUAUAUAUAUUCUGUUAUUCGUGUUAUGAUAUAUAUAUUACAUCCAAUAACUAGAUUGGUUUUUAAGUGAUAGAUAAAAGUUUAGCUGAAAAGUUCCAUUUAAGUCCUUAUUUUUUUGCAAUUCUAGUUUCUUUCAAACAAAAUGAAACAAAAACGUUUAAGACAAAGCUAGUUAUAGCACAUACUAUAUUAAAUAGUAAACUAUAAGUCUAACUGAAGAGGUUUUAAAUAUUAUAAAUUUACUUUUGUCUUUAAUCAAUUUAGAAUCUCUAACAUACCAUUUCAAGUUGAGACAUGUGAACGAUGAUUUAGUUUUCUCCUAUUGGUAAGUCAAAGUAUGGGUGUAACAAAAAUUACUGUUAAAAAGAAAAGCAACAUGUUAAAAAGGCCCGAGAAGAUGUUGGUGUUUUCUUAGACACUUUCGCUCCUGGUGCCAAACUGUGUUGGAGAUCCCAGACAACUUUGCAUUGUACUAUGUCUCAAACAUACAGAAUCCCAUAUCAAUUUUCCAUCGAUGUUGUACACCCGAUUUUGUCAUCUUGAUGUAUAAACUUGUUGAAGUGUAUAAAGAGGUUGUCAUUUCAUCCUCAAUUAUAAUUGCUAUUGGAUAUAUUUGAAUUGGAUACCAAAUAAACAUAUUAAUAACAAUAUUUAAUUGUGAUUACAACAAAAGAAAAAAAAUACAGUACAAAAUAGAAAAUAGCAAGUAAAAUUGAAUGUUGUUUAAUAACUUUACUUUUUACUUACGCACGUUGAAAAGAAUAAAAAUGUAUAUUGCUUCUCUUGCCAACUGAAUUCUUUUAUUAAAUUAAAGAGACUAUUAAAUAACAUUCACGUAACAGAAUACAUAAAAGAAGUGGUAACAGCUAAAAAAUAAAGGUGCCUAAAAAUAAGGCAUUAUUAAGUAACAAAAUCAAAAUAAGUGCCUACAAAUAAGGUAUUAUUAUGCAGAAUAAAAUAUCUUUUCAUUCCCUCCCUUAAACUGACUUCCAGCGUAUCAAUUUAUUUCAGAUAAAUCAACCAUUCCCAUCUUCAUCCUGAGUUUCUGAAAAGCUUCGAGUUUUAAAGCCUUGGUCAUUAUAUCUGCAACCUGUUCGUUAGUUCCACAGUGCAUCAACUCAAUUUCUCCAUCUUGCACAAGAUCUCUUAAAAAAUGAAAACGCACUCUAAUAUGCUUGCUCCUGCCAUGCAUUACUGGAUUUUUUGAAAGUUUAAUGGUUGAACUAUUGUCACACAUAAUAAUAGUGCUAGUGUCCUGAAUAUAAGUUAAGUUUCCCAACACUCUUUUCAUCCACAUUGCUUGAUAGUGGCAACAACUGCUACAAAUUCUGCCUCUGUACUUGAGAGAGUAACAAUUGGUUGUUUCUUGGACAUCCAUGUUACUGCACCUGAACUUAGCAAAAAUACAUAACCAGAAGUGCUUUUAGAAUCAUCCUCAUCUCCUGCAUAAUAAGAAUCUGUGAAAGCAAGCAUAUUUUCUUCUUUAACAGCUUCCUCAAAUAAAAUUGGAUCUUCACUUGUGACAUCUUGUACUAUAUAGGCUGCUAUCUCAGCUUCAUCUUCUUCACUUAAUCCUUCUCCAAUAACAAAUUCUUCCAUGCAACUUGGUUGUCUUCUUUCUCUCCCUUGAAUUACGUGUUCCUGUGAAUUCACUAUUGCUUCAUUUUGAAUGACACUUUCCUCAUUAUGCUCAUUAUGCUCAUUAUUCGCACCAUCACUAUCAACUUCAAUAUUUUCUUCAAAUUCAUCAAUAUGUAACUUAUCAUCAUCACCCCAUAACAACUCAGUUUCUAUUUGCUCUUUAUAAUUUGGACCCUAAUCCCAACUCUUCUCUUCUUCAAAUAUAACGUCUUUACUAAUAACAAUCCUCUUUGUCUUAGGAUUAAAUAGACGAUAACCCUUNGACUNUUCACUAACNCCCAAUAAAAUACAAGGAAAACUUUUAUCAUCAAGCUUACCUCUUUUUGCCUCUGGUAUGUGCACAUGAGCCAGGCAUCCCCAAACUCGAAGAUGGUUUAUUGAAGGUUUGAUUCCACUCCAAGCUUCUUGUGGAGUUAUGUUCCUCACAGCAUGCGUUGGACAUCGAUUCAAUAAAUAAAAGGUCCAGUUUACAGCUUCAGGCCAAAAUAACUCAGGAACCUUUUUGGCAGAGAGCAAACAACGUACCAUAUUCAUAAUAGUUCUGUUUUUGCGCUCUGCAACUCCGUUUUGAUGCGGUGUAUAAGUUGUGGUAAGUUGCCUUUUUAUUCCAUGUUCUUCACAAAAUAGCUUGAAUUGAAGAGAGUUAAACUCCCCUCCUCUAUCCGUUCGUAAGCAUUUGAUGGAUGCUUCAACUUUCUUUUCCAUCAUUUUCUUGUAGGAUUUGAAACACUCCAAAGCUUCAGAUUUUUCAGAGAGCAAAUACACCCAACCUUUACGACUAUAAUCAUAAGCUUAAAAAAUACCUUUUUCCACUAUUUGAAAUGGGUUCUAUUAGACCGCAAAUAUCUGCAUGUAUGAGUUCCAAGACCUUGCUAGCGUGCCAUUUACUUGUCUUAGGAAUUGGAUUACGAUGUUGUUUUCCAGCGAAGCAAUCAACACACGUGAUACUAGAGUCACUGGGUUCAGGCAGUCCAUGAACCAUUUGUCGUGUUUGUAGUGUCUUCAAGCCUUUGUAGUUUAUGUGGCCAAACCUUUGAUGCCAAAGGUAAGUGAGGUCAGAGGAGGUGUGUAGACAUUCUUCAAUGGAUAGGGUGAUAGAUCUUUCAUUGACGAAAAUGAACAUACGGUUGCUGCUCAUUUUUGUAUAUGCGAUCAAACCUUUAGACGGAUGAUAGAUGUUGCAUGUUCCUUUUUGUAUAAGAAUAGCAAGACCCUUUUCUUGUAAUUGUCCCAUGCUUAACAAAUUUUUUUGAAGCUCUGGGACAUAGUACACAUCUAAGGAAGGUUGUGCCAUUAAACGUCAAUCUGACACUUCCUAUUCCAAGGACAAUCAUCUAAGAAUUGUUUCCACAUUUGACAAAAUGUUGAUCUCCAUAAGCCAAAUCUACAAACAUACCUUUAUAACCACACAUAUGAUUAGAACACCCUGAAUCCAAAAACCAUGCGUCACUCCUUUUGGAUUCCUUUUCUACAGUAGCCAUCAGAAGAAGUUCUUCUGUUUCAUCUAACUCUGCAUAAUUUGCUUCUCCUUUGUUCCAUUGAGGACAUUCAUACUGAAAAUGUCCCAAGUGGUGACACUUGAAGCAUUCCACAGUGGCUUUUGAAGAAAAUUGUCUCCUUCUUCCCCGUCCACGACCACGAUAUGUUCUUCUUCCUCUACCUCUACCGCGGCUACUUUCUGAUGUGAGUACUUGUUCAUUAUCUUGGUAGACCUUUAUAAACUUUUGCUCAUGGACUACCAAGCAGCUUUGAAGUUCGUCCAUAGACAUUUUCUCUGUGUCCUUCGACUCUUCGAUCGAAACCACGAUAUAGGUGAAACGUGGUGUCAACGUUUGAAGUAUUUUUUCAACCACCUUUGAAUCGGACAUAAGUUCUCCAUUGCUUCUCGUUUUGUUUGCCACUGCCAUGACUCUAGCAAAAUAUUUUGUGAUGGUUUCUAAUUCUGUCAUUUCAAGCACCUCAAACUCCCUUCUCAAUGCAUUGAGCAUUGAUUUCUUCACACGAUCAUUUCUUCCAUAUUUUCUUUUCAAGGAAUCCCAAACAAUCUGAGAUGUGUUCCUAUCCAGAAUUUGUUCGAAAAUUGAUCGAUCAAUGGCCCUGAAAAGGUAAUGUUUGACUUUGUGAUCUUCAAUUUUGGAUUUCUCCAAUUGCUCUGAUUCUUCACAAGACAGAACAGUACCCUCCAUAGGCUCUUCAACACCAUUCUAAAUCAGAUUCCAGAGACCCUUGGCACAUAAAAAAUUCUCCAUCAGUUCACUCCAAUGAUCAUAAUGUUGACCGUCAAAGUAAGGAAUUUUUGAGGAGAAUUUAUCAUUAUUCAUCUUCGUAAGCUGCAGCUUCUGUAUCAGGCCCACUAGGAGCUCUGAUACCAGUUUGAAAAGAAUAAAAAUGUAUAUUGCUUCUCUUUCCAACUGAGUUCUUUUAUUAAAUUAAAGAGACUAUUAAAUAGCACUCACGUAACAUAAUACAUGAAAGAAGUGGUAAUAGCUAAAAAAUAAAUGUGCCUAAAAAUAAGGCAUUAUUAAGUAACAGAAUCAAAAUAAGUGCCUACAAAUCAGGCAUUAUUGUGCAGAAUAAAAUUUCUCUUCACACGUAAAUUGAGAUGUUGAGUCCAUCCACUUAAGAUGAGCUUUACACUACAAGCUCAUUGACAACCUCUUUCAUAGUAGGGCGAGAUCGUGGACUUUCAGUCAUGCAGGAAACUGCUAUCUUCGCAACUGAUGCCACCUCUUUAAGUAAACGUUUAGUUGGAGGAGGGAGACGCUGCUCCAACUUAUCCAUCAAUGUCAUAUGAUCAGCAGUGGAUGAAGAUGAUAAUAAGGAAGAUAUAAAAUCACCAGGAUGCUUUCCCAGAAGUAUUUCCAAUGCCAACACUCCAAAACUAUACACGUCACAUUUCUCAUUCACUUCCAUUGUGUAUGCAAGUUCUGUAACAAACUAAAGCUGAUAUCAUAUAAAAAAAAAGGGAAGGUAGUGACAAUGAUAAAAUAUAUAUAGAUAAUUGUAACCGUCAAAGAGAAACUUAAAAUAUGAGAUCCUCAACAAGUACAAGGAAAGAAAAUUGACCUGGAGCGGCAUAUCCGAAGGUUCCUACAAAUGAGGUCCAAUUGGAUGAAUUGGGAUUAAGAAACUUGGUUGUUCCGAAAUCUGAGACAUGUUCCACAUAUUCNAAAUCCAAAAGGACAUUUUUACUUGAUAUAUCACGAUGAAUAAUUGGUGGUGANCAAUCAUAAUGCAUGUANAAUAAAGNAUUUGNUANAUCUUUAAUAACAUUCACUCUCUUAUUCCAAUCAAANGCAAUUGCUUGUUCAUCAUCCUUCAAAAUAUUCUGGACAUUGCCCUUCUCCAAGAAUUCACAAACCAUAAAUGACCGUUGGGAAUGUGAACAAAACCCAUAUAAGGUUACAAUGUUACGAUGCCGAAUUUCUGUCAGAGCUUGGAUCUCACUUGUGAACGCUUUCACAUUGAGCUUUUCUUCAUUUGGAACUGAAUGCAAUUUCUUUACAGCCACAACUUGACCUGAGGGUAACAUUGCUUUGUAAACUUGUCCUUGUCCUCCAACUCCAAUGAGAUGCUUAUCGUCAAAAUUUUCAGUGGCUUCAACAAUAUUUUCAAAUACAAUUUUGCCAUCAAAACUCCAUAUUGCAAAUGUGUUUAGAGUUUGUAAAUUGAUAGGUUGCUCUUCCAUUUUCAUUGAAGUUUUACAUAAAUAAUUCAAGACUCCGAAAAGAAACAAUGCCAGCAUUACAGUGCCCGAAGUAAGGGGUAGAACCAUUGUUAUGACUUUCUUUGUCAUAUGCUUAUGUGAUUUCCCACUUAGUGUUAGGCAAGGCUUUAAGCCACUAACAUUUCCACACAAGCCUUUAUUAUUUCUUACUGCGUCCAUUGUAGCAUUGCCAAUGGUCUGGAAUUAUUAGAUCCAAGACUCAAAAUUUGAAGAUUCUUCAUUGAUACAAUCUCUAUGGGAAUAUUUCCUAAAAGAUUAUUGUUGUUGAGUGAUAGACGAAACAACAAAACCAAUAAUUUAGAUAAAUCUUGUGGAAUGCUUCCUGUAAGAUGAUUUGAGGAUAACUGAAGUUCACGUAAUUCGGUUGCCUCGCUUAGUUCUGGUGGGAUAACACCUGAUAAGUUAUUGUUAGAGAUCUUGAGGCUUGUGAGGCUACGGAACUUCCCCCAAUUUGGUGAAAGAUGACCAUAAAAAUUGUUUUCACUCAAUUCGAUGUAAACCAAGUUUGGAAGUACACCAAAAGCAUAUAUUAUGUUUCCACUUAGUUGAUUUUCCUCAAGUCUCACUCGUACAAAACUAGAGCAAUUCUUCAAACUCUCUGGAAUAUGGCCAGUGAAAUGGUUAUUGCUAGCGGAAAAUUUUGCCAACAUUCCACCAACACAAAUGUUGUGAGGUAAAUGGCCGACAAAAUUAUUAUCAGCGAGCUGCAAAUUUUCCAAAGCAAUAAUCCUGUUCAUUUGUAUUGGAAUAUUGCCACUGAGAUAAUUUUCAAUCAAAUUCAAUUUGUGAAGCUUUGACAUAUUUCCAAUAGUGGAAGGAAUGUAUCCAGAAAGUUUGUUUUGAUAAAGUAAAACGGAUUCCAAAUUGACCAGGUUACCUAUGGAAGUAGGGAUUGGUCCAAAGAGAUUAUUGCCCAGCAACUGGAUUGUUAGAAGGGAAUGCAAAUUUCCUAUUUCAUCCGGGAUAAAGCCAGAUAAUUGGUUGUCAUAAAGGUAAAGAUAACUUAGAUUGCUCAAGUUUCCAAUUGUGGAAGGGAUUUUACCAGAGAGAAUAUUCUCAAACCAAACAAGUUCACUGAGUUUUCUCAAAAAUCCAAUUUCAGGAGGAAUAAAACCUGACAAUUGGUUUCCUUCAAGGAAAAGUUUAUUUAGGUUGCUCAAAUAUCCAAUUUCACGAGGAAUAGAGUCAGAGAGAUUAUUACUUUGAAGAUAUAGCCUCUUGAGGUUGACCAACUUACCAAUUUCACUAGAAAUAUGACCAGAAAGUUUAUUGUCAUGUAAGCUGAGAAGUGAUAGAUUGGUCAAAGCUCCAAUUGAAAUAGGUAUGGACCCAAAAAGAUCAGAAGAACUCAUGUCGAGCUCUAUUAAUUUCCCCAACAUCCCAAUUUCUUGGGGGAUGGUGCCUGUAACACCCCUUCUCGGAGUGUCACAGAUUUUUUUUUUUUAAAUACACGUUCACAUUUAAAACCACACAUUUAUUAAUAUUAUACAUUGAGAACAUCAGAGUUUUUCAAGAACAAUUAUUGGAUUACAGACCAAAUCAUAAAAGUAUAUUAAAAUUAAAAACCACAACGUUCCAUGAUUUAAAAUACAUAUUUAAAAAUCCCAAAGAGUGUUUCCCCAACGCAUCCUCGCACUAAACGUCUUCAGUUUUACCUGAAACAUCAUCUACUCCCGUAUAACGACACGAGUUAUACGAUCAUCGUAGACACACAAGUAGGGUGAGCUAACAGAAAAAUAUGAGUUACAGAUAAACCUACUUACAUACUUUGAAUAAUAUUAUUAAUGUAAACAUACUACCAUCACGUAUACUUCAGACACUACUCACUUCUCAUCUGACUCUAAUCACUUCUCAUUUCUCACGUAUCUAUGGAAUUUAUCUCGAUUUUUUUCGCAUUUGUUAAGUUUAUGCCACAACCAGUCCCUCAUAUGGACCGCGGAUAAGAGUCGUCCUACGCACACCACAUUGGACAUAUCUCCCUAAUUCUUCAAGGGCUUACGAGUAAAAACAUUGGUGAGUAACAUCCAUUCACCAAGCACAAUACUCAGCACAAGUCAGAAACUCUUGGCGAGAUAUUUGUACCCUCUAGAAAGAGGAAAAGUAACAGGACUCGAAUCCACUUAUCGCCUUACAUAGGCAAAAAGGAAAUCAUCAUUUUUAACUACCGAGAUAAAUAUAAAUCAUCCCAAUGAUACGAUAAGAUUAGAGAAUCAAAAAGGAUUAUCUAUUAGACUAAAAGAACUCAACAUCCAUUAACUUAAAUUAAAUCUAAAAUACAUUCAGAAUAACGUGUUGUCUACUUUGACCUUGGCUCAAUGUUUUACUCGUAAUUUUUCUCUACAGUAUUCCAACUGAAGAGAUUCUUGUUUUGUUGGAUUCUAAACUCAAGAAUCUUUUCUUAGACACCAGACUAGUAAAAUAUCCUUCAUUACAAUUUUAAUAUUUAAAAUAUUCAACACAAAAAGUAUUGGUAAGCUACCAAAAACAUAAUUUUCAUAUAAACGUUCUGGAAAACCAAGAAGUUGAAUCUGGCAAAGCCGGUUAGACAUCUUCUUAUCCUUCCAGAUAGAUGUAAUAGAAAAAGGAUAUACACUCAAUAAUUCAUACAAACAUCAUAAAAUCCAUUCAUCCCAAAAAAAAAAAUCAUACAAAUUAAAUAUAUCACAAAAUAAUUUAACUGCACAUAAUCUGUUUGAUAAGAAUUAGUUAAAAACACAACGAGUAGACUUCCAGGAAAGAGAGGUGUGUCACAAUGGACAACUUAAGUACCAGGUCUUUCCUUAGCCAAAGUGUUCCUCAAUGUGUUAUUAACAGAUUUCUUAUUCACAGAUUCAAAACAACAGCAUAUAAUAUUAUCACAGAAAUUCAAAUAGUUAUGCAACAAGCACAUAGGUUUUUCAUUAAUAGUAAUUGCACAAAAUUUCAAGACAUGAAUAGUUAUAAAAAAAUAUUUUAUAAAUAAAUAAAAAAACUUAGAAAGGUUAGCUCCCCUUACCUCUAUUUUAGACUCAAUUCCUUCCUCCGAAGUUGUUCCCCCCGAAAAUCUUCCAGAACCCCUACUCUUCUAAAAUUUUCUUCCUAACUCUUUCUUCUCAAGAUUUCUCACUUGAUUCUUCCUCUCUUUAUGCAGAAUGAGCUCUCCUCCCAUGGCUAUUUAUAGUCCAAAAAAUUUUACUAUUUAAAUUAUUUUAAUAUUAUUUUAUUAAUAUUUUAAUCACCACUUGCAAAUCUUAUCCUUUCUUAAUAAUGCAACUCAAUGAUUCUUAUCCUUUCAUUAUUUUAUUUUUAUUAUUAUUAUUAUUAUUUUUUUUUACUAUUCACGUUUUACUAUUCACUUUUUACUAUUCACUUUUUUUUUUUAACAAAACCUUCUAAAAUAGGUUCUCAAAAUUUUAAACCCCUUCUUAUGAAAUUAUUAUAAUUUUCUAUCAUAAUCUAAAUGUUUCUAACCUUAACUAUAUUUUCCAUUCAUUAAAAUUAUUAUUACUAAUAAUAAUGCUAAAAUUUACUAUUAUUUAUAAAUAUUUUACAUGGGUCUUACAGUGCCAGAAAGGCCGCUUUCCCCAAGAUAUAGGAUCUCCAGGUUUCUCAUAUUCACAAUUUCUUUGGGAAUGGAAACAUGGAAGUUAUUAAUUGUAAGUGAUAAAUGGUUUAGGUCAAUGUGCAAAUUCUCUGAGGAAUGCUGCCAAAAAGGUUGUUGCCUGCUACAUCUAGAUGAAUCAAAUUGUUCAACUUUUCUAUAGAGAUUGGGAUUGUCCCUGUGAGAUUGCAAAAAGGAACAUGAAGCAUUCUCAGCUCCCUUAAUCUCCCUAUUUCUUGGGGAAGGGACUCACUGAAAGUAUUAUAACUCAUGUUCAACUUCUGAAGGCUAAUCAACUGUGUUAUUUCAGAAGGGAUAAUCCCAGAGAGUUUAUUAGCAGACAAAUCAAGAACAACUAGAUUGGACAGAACUCCAAUUUAAGGAGGAAUACUUCCAAUCAGAAAGUUGUUAGUGAUCACAUGCAAUUCCGAGCCAAUUGCAAGAAGUGUUAGCAGUCCAUGAAAAGAGAGAAGCUUGACUCUGCUUGUCAAGGCUGGCUUUCCACUUCACCAGAGCAUUUGCUUCUGAAGCAAUUCCGGAAGAAUUGAAAGCAUGAGAAUGGGGAAUGCAGAAAACAACAUUAGAAGAAGCAACCAAAAGGGUUGGAACUUCAUCGACAGAAGCGUUGGAAAUAUGAACAUCAUACUGAAUUGUUCACACAGCUACUUAGGUUCGACACACACAUAGAUCUCCACACAUGAUAAGAUAUUGUCCGCUUUGGGCCAAGCCCUCACGGUUUUGCUUUUGGUGCCACUCCAAAAGGCAUCUUAUCAGCCUUCACGGGUUUGCUUUUGGUACCACUCCAAAAGGCCUCUUAUCAUUGGAGGAAUGUAUGUGUAUUUAAACCCUUGACCAGCCCUUCUUUUACUCGAUGUGGGACUUUGUUUGCAUUCCAACAUUUUUUUUUCCUCAAAUUGAGUCUUAUUAUUCAUUGAUAAUUGAAGGGCUUUAAAUAGCCAUGAUACUUACAAUAUCAUGGAAAUAAAAAUAAAAUCUGAAAAUAAAAUAUCAACUGACUUAAAAAUAAAAUCUCCUUAACCUAUCAUACAAUAAUAUUCUAUCUAAUAAACAGAAAAUCAUAACUACUCAUUCAUAUUUUAUCUCUAUCAAAUCAAACCAAAUAUUACUAGACUCAAAACUAAUAAAAUAAUAUUUAAACAAAAUUAUUAAUAAAACCCUAAAAUUUAAGUUUAUCUCAAGUUUAUCUCAACAAACUCCCCCAUAAACUUAAAUUCUUCCUUCCUUGCUUUCCAUGUGCAUCAUCCCACACCGGGUUUGUUUCUUCUCUCCAAGAUUUUCAGCUCUGGUUCUUCUUUGCUUUUACCUGGGUUGUUAGACGACCAUGCUUAACCUUUAAGUACACAAAUUUGGCCUCCACCUUGGUGAGUUCACAAAAAAAGUUCUCGUUCCCACACAUAUGAUUGCUUGCUCCAGUAUCUAGAUACCAUACUGAGUUGGUAGAAAUCUCAUCGGCCUUCAUCUCUUCUUCAUCUUCUUCCCUAGAUGUUUUCUCUUCCUUUUCAGGAGCUGUCUUCCUCAGUUCCUCAAGCUCAACCCUCUGUUUAUUCGUAAUUUCAUUAGCUUCAUCUAGAAGCCUCCUUAUUCGCCGAAUCUCUUCAUCUUUUCCUUUGAGUUCUUUCUCCAGGUUUUCCUUCUCCACAAUUGUUGCAUCCUUUACCGAGAUCACUUCAUCCAUUGUUGGGAUUGGGCUCUCCAUGUCCACUACAUCCAAGAUCUUUGCUAUCAACAAUUCUUCUGCAUCUUCUUCUGCAUAUUCAGUAACGAGAUUCGUCUCCCCCUUUGUCUUGGUCUCGCAAUACCUUGAAAUAUGAUCAAACUUGCCACAGUUGUAGCACCUUGUUGCCCAACACUCGUUUUCAUAGUGGUCGCACUUGCCACACCUAAAACACUCUGCCCUUGACCGAUCUCCUCGGUAUUUUCCUUGUCUUCGAUCAUGCCAAUUCUGUUGACCGGUUUGAUCUUCAUUGCCUCUACCACGUCCACCUCGUCCUCGGCCUCCUCGCCAUCUUCCACCAGGACCUCGGCUCUGAGUAAUCUGAGAUUUAUCAAAGUCCCACAUCGAGUAAAAGAAGGGCUGGUCAAGAGUUUAAAUACACAUAGAUACCUCCAAUGAUAAGAGGCCUUUUGGAGUGGUACCAAAAGCAAAUUCGUGAGGGCUUGGCCCAAAGCGGACAAUAUCUUAUCAUGUGUGGAGAUCUAUGUGUGUGUUAAACCUCCCCCAACAGUGGUAUCAGAGCCCAUGGUUCUGGUCUGGUGACCGAGCUCAAACGAGUACGUCCUCCCAUGAUCAGGUGAGUCAGGCAGGAGGCCAGUGGCCACCGGAUGAAUCAUGAGAGGUGGGGAGAGCAAGAGAUGCUCAUUGUGACCAUGGAUCAUGAGGGCUUGGCCCAAAGCGGGCAAUAUCUUAUCAUGUGUAGAUAUCUAUGUGUGUGUCAAACCUCUCCAACAAUUAUCUAUACAUUAUCUGUAUGUGUUCCAUAAUUUUUCGUCCUUAAUACGACUGUAAGUUUCUUGCACUUAAAUUUAUUAAAGUUAUUGUCUUAUCAUCAUUUAAUAACACAAAUUUGAAAGUGAAAAUAAAUCAUUUUCAAAUAAGAAGAUAUAAAAAACAACUUUCAAAUUUAGGGAUUAUAAAAAUAUUUUUAAAUUUGGAGGACUAAAAUAUUUUAAUUUGCAGAAAUUAAAAUGUAAAUUUUAUAUUUUGAGUGGUUAAAAAAUCACUUUUAAAUUUAACGGACUAAAAUAAAGUUUAAUACAAAUUUUAGAGAAUAAAAACAUUUUAGCCGGAAAAUUCUUGAAAAUGUAUUUCCACAUUAUUAUUUUACGGACAUGAUCCAGAUGUUGUUAGGCACGUUAACCAUCUUAACAACUAAUGUAACGAUAUUAUAUUAUUGAUGAGGAACAAAAGGAUUAUUUUUAGAAUUUUAAAAUUAAAAAUAAUUUUUAAUUUAGGAAUCUAAAUCAGAAAAAAAAAAUCAAAUUUAAAGAUUAAAAGUAUUUAUUUUUACAGUGCAUUAUUUUUCUUUCUUUGCAUUUAUUCAUCCAUUUUAAUCCUUCAUUAUCAGUGCAUCUAUUUUUACAGUCUAUGUUUUCAUUACAGUAUCUUGCAUUCAUUGAUUAGUUUUAGUAAAUACAUGCAUUAUUAGAUAGUUUUAUAUUUUAGAUUUCAGUUUUACAAUUUUCUCUCCACCUACUUUUUAGUAAAUAAGUAUUUAGGCUUAAUUCUACAGUUUCUAAACUUGAUAAGUACCAAGUCCACGGAUUGAUCCUUGGUUGACCCCUAUAUUACAUUAGUGGGGAAAUUUAAGGUUUGUUGACUUUUGUGCGACCAAAAGCCUUUCAACAACAACCAACUUAACAUAUGAGACUAAAUUGACACAAAUUGAAUAACAUGGGGACCCAAUCUAUAUAUUUUUAAAAGAGGGUACUAAACUGAAAAUUUCCUCUUAACAUGGGGACCAAUUAAGGAUUUAAGUCCAUAUAAUUAUUAACAAUAUUUAAUUAUGAUUAUAUCUCAUAGUAUCUCGCAGUUACAAGUUUAAAGUAACACAAAUUAACAUAUAAAAAUUCAACACAAAAAAGAAAAUAGCAAAUAAUAAAACCCACCCUCUUUAUAAACUUCAAUCUUUAGCUAUACACGUAUGUUGCAAUCUUGACUCCAUUCAUGGAAGAUGUGAGCUUUACAUUACAAGUUCAUUGGCAACCUCCUUCAUAUUAGGACGAGAUCGUGGACUUUCAGUCAAACAAGCAACUGCUAUCUUUGCAAUUGAUGUCACUUCUUUAACUGAACAUUUUGUUGGAGGAGGAAGACGCUGGUCCAACUUCUCCAUCAAUGUCAAGUGAUCAAGUGUUAAGGCCACACUUGUGGAUGAAGAUGAUAAAGAGGAAGAUAUAAAAUCAGCAGGAUGCUUUCCAAGAAGUAUUUCCCAUGCCAACACUCCAAAACUAUACACGUCACAUUUCUCAUUCACUUCCAUUGUGUAUGCAAGUUCUGUAACAAACUAAACCUUNNNNNNNNNNNNNNNNNNNNNNNNNNNNNNNNNNNNNNNNNNNNNNNNNNNNNNNNNNNNNNNNNNNNNNNNNNNNNNNNNNNNNNNNNNNNNNNNNNNNNNNNNNNNNNNNNNNNNNNNNNNNNNNNNNNNNNNNNNNNNNNNNNNNNNNNNNNNNNNNNNNNNNNNNNNNNNNNNNNNNNNNNNNNNNNNNNNNNNNNNNNNNNNNNNNNNNNNNNNNNNNNNNNNNNNNNNNNNNNNNNNNNNNNNNNNNNNNNNNNNNNNNNNNNNNNNNNNNNNNNNNNNNNNNNNNNNNNNNNNUCACGAUGAAUAAUUGGUGGUGAGCAAUCAUAAUGCAUGUACAAUAAAGCAUUUGCUACAUCUUUAAUAACAUUCACUCUCUUAUUCCAAUCAAAUGCAAUUGCUUCUUCAUCAUCCUUCAAAAUAUUCUGGACAUUGCCCUUCUCCAAGAAUUCACACACCAUAAAUGACCAUUGGUAAUGCGAACAAAACCCAUAUAACUUUACUAUGUUACGAUGGCGAAUUUCUGUCAGAGCUUGGAUCUCACUUCUGAAAGCUUUCACAUUGAGCUUUUCUUCAUUUGGAACUGAAUGCAGUUUCUUUACAGCCACAACUUGACCUGAGGGUAACAUUGCUUUGUAAACUUGUCCUUGCCCUCCAACUCCAAUGAGAUGCUUAUCGUCAAAAUUUUCAGUGGCUUCAACAAUAUUCUCAAAUACCAUUUUGCCAUCAAAACUCCAUAUAGCAAAUGUGUUUGAAGUUUGUAAAUUGGUAGCUUCCUCUUCCAUUUUCAUUGAAGUUUUACAUAAAUAAUACAAGACUCCAAUAACAAACAAUGCCAGCAUUAGAGUGCCCAAAGUAAGGGGUAGAACCAUUGUUAUGACUUUCUUUGUCAUAUGCUUAUGUGAUUUCCCACUUAGUGUUAGGCAAGGCUUUAAGCCACUAACAUUGCCACACAAGCCUUUAUUAUUUCUUACUGCGUCAAUUGUAGCAUUGCGAAAGACUGGAAUGUUUGGAAGUGGACCCUCAAAAUCAUUGUAAGAUAUAUCAAUAGAUGUCAAGCUCAUCAUUUCAUCAAAGAUAGAAAGAUCACCUGAGAGACUAUUGUGAGAGAGAUUCAAUGUUUCUAAUUUUUUUAACCCUCCAAGCACAUGUGUUAAUGUUCCCCUCAACAAAUUUUCGCUGAGAUCAAGAGUUGUAAGAGAUAUUAAUUUGCCAAGCUCUAAGGGAAUAUUUCCCUCAAAUUUGUUCUGACUCAAAUUCAUUUCCAAUAAACUGAGCAAAUUUCCAAGUUGGCCUGGAAUUAACCCAGACAAAUUAUUAGAUCCAAGCCUCAAAAUUUGAAGAUUCUUCAUUGAUGCAAUUUUUGAGGGAAUAUUUCCUGAAAGAUUAUUGUUGUUGAGUGAUAGACUAAACAACAAAACCAAUUUAGAUAAAUCUUGUGGAAUGCUUCCUGUAAGAUGAUUUGAGGAUAACUGAAGUUCACAUAAUUCGGUUGCCUCGCUUAGUUCUGGUGGGAUAACACCUGAUAAGUUAUUGUUUAAGAUCUUGAGGCUUGUGAGGCUACGAAACUUCCCCCAAUUUGGUGAAAGAUGACCAUAAAAAUUGUUUUCACUCAAUUCGAUGUAAACCAAGUUUGGAAGUACACCAAAAGCAUCUGUUAUGUUUCUAGUUAGUUGAUUUUCCUGAAGUCUCACUCGUAGAAGGCUAGAGCAAUUCUUCAAACUCUCUGGAAUAUGGCCAGUGAAAUGGUUAUUGCUAGCGGAAAAUUUUGCCAACUUUCCACCAACACAAAUGUUGUGAGGUAAAUGGCCAACAAAAUUAUUAUCAACCAGCUGCAAACUUUCCAAAGCAAUAAUCCUGUUCAUUUCUAUUGGAAUCUUGCCACUGAGAUUAUUGUCAAAUAAAAUGAAUUCGUGAAGCUUUGACAAAUUUCCAAUAGUGGAAGGAAUGGAUCCAGAAAGUUUGUUUUGAUAAAGUAAAACAGAUUCCAAAUUGACCAAGUUACCUAUGGAAGUAGGGAUUGGUCCUGAGAGAUUAUUGUCAAAUAAAAAUAAUUGACGAAGCUUCGACAAAUUUCCAAUAGUGGAAGGAAUGGAUCCAGAAAGUUUGUUUUGAGAAAGAGAAACGGAUUCCAAAUUGACCAGGUUACCUAUGAUAGUAGGAAUGGGUCCAGAGAGGUUGUUUUGAUCAAGUAAAAUUGAUUUCAAAUUGACCAGGUUACCUAUGGAAGUAGGGAUUAGUCCAAAGAGGUUGUUUUGAGAAAGAGAAAUGGAUUCCAAAUUGACCAGGUUACCUAUGGAAACAGGGAUUGGUCCAGAAAGAUUGUUUUGAUGAAGUAAAAUAAAUUCCAAAUUGACCAGGUUACCUAUGGAAGUGGGAAUUGGUCCAGAAAGAUUGUUUUGAUGAAGUAAAAUAGAUUCCAAAUUGACCAGGUUACCUAUGGAAGUAGGAAUUGGUCCAGAGAGAUUAUUGCCCAGCAACUGGAUUGUUAGAAGGGAAUGCAAAUUUCCUAUUUCAUAUGGGAUAAAGCCAGAUAAUUGGUUGUCAUAAAGGUAAAGAAAGUUUAGAUUGCUCAAGUUUCCAAUUGUGGAAGGGAUUUUACCAGAGAGAAAAUUC